rnacentral:lncRNA from 1 species
AUUGUUUGCUACUCAGCCACGAAGAGAUAAGAAGCCUGUGUCAGAAUGCAUGUGAACACGCUGCUUGCUUCCUAGAAGCCUUGCUUUGAAAAAGAAGGUCUGCCCAUCCACAUCAUUUUGGCUGGUAUGUCUCUGGUCUGCAGUUAUUAUUUUUGGUCUUUGCUCUCAUGUAAAUGGUAACGUCUGGCCUUGUUAAUGUAUAACUCUAGUCUCUCAGAGAGUACUGCCAAUAAAAAUUUUUUAAAGUUAAAUUAGUUCAAUCAUUGUGGAAGACAGUGUGGCAAUUUCUCAAAGAUUUGGAACUGGAAAUACCAUUUGACCUAACAAUCCCUUUACUGGGUAUAUACUCAAAGGAAUAUAAAUCAUUCUGUUAUAAAGAUACAUGCACGCAUAUGUUCAUUGCAGCACAAUUCGCAGUAGCAAAGACUUGGAAUCAAACCAAAUGCCCAUCAAUGAUAGACUGGAUAAAGAAAAUAUGGUACACAUACACCGUGGAAUACUAGGCAGCCAUAAAAAGGAACAAGAUCAUGUCUUUUGCUAGAACAUGGAUGAAGCUGGAAGCUAUUAUCCUCAGCAAACUAACGAGCAAUAGAAAACCAAACACUGCAUGUUCUCACUCAUAAGUGGGAGCUGAAUAAUGAGAACACAUGGACACAGGGAGGGGAACAACACAUACUGGGACCUAUUAGGGGAAGUCAUGCAGGGAAAGCAUCAGGAAAAAGAGCUAAUGCUUGCUGGGCUUAAUACCUAGGUGAUGGGUUGAUAGGUGCAGGAAGCCAUCAUGGCACAUGUUUACUUAUGUAACAAGCCUGCACAUGCACCCUGGAACUUAAAAAAUAAUAAAGAAUAAAUGAAAAAAAUUUUUUUUAAGUCACUCAGAGAUGUAAUGAAAUAUUCAGUCCUAUUUUACUUCCCAAUAAAGAGCUUGGAGAAGCUUACGGACUGUGCAGUAGGUGUCCUCACAUGCCCUGAUAAGCAGGGAAGAAUGGCUGGUCGUUGCCCAUGGUACAUAUGACCUCAUUGUCCCAAUUGCCCUAUGAGUGGCUGGACUGCUUAGUCAUGAAGGUGUGGUCCAAGCAGUGAUCUGGAGGCAGGGAAAUUAAAAUGCAACAGUCCAGCUGGGACCCUUCUGCCGUUACACAGUGAAGCUACUGGGAAGCUGUGUCUUUGCGAGGUGGGGGAGUCUGAAGCUUCAUUUCAUGUCCCUGCUAUGGUGUGAGGCCUCUCUCUCUUUCCAAAGCUAAUUAUUUGGAGCCAUUGUGAACUCCCACUUUCAGGCGAUUUGAGUUCCAACAGUUUAUUUCACUGUCAGUUGUUCUGAACUUAAAAAUAAUUUUUCUACCAAAAAUAAUAAAAGGAACGAAGGGUCAGCUCAUAGAAAUCAACUUAAAUUCAAACCUAGAUGAACUAAUGUACAUUUGCAAUGAAAAGAAGCAGAGAAAUCAAAUGUUAUAGUUUAGGUAUGCAGACUGUGUUUGCAAAUCCAUUAAUUAUAACUGAACAUAACCAAAUUAAUAAAAAUAAUUUCUUUUUUCUACAAUAUGGCUUUGACGAUGGCAUUUUUAAUUAGAGGAGGAGAGGAGAAUGUUGGAGACUUGUGGAGAUUAUCCAGGGGGAAAUUCUCAGCACAUUUGAAGCCUUUAGAAGUUAAGGAAUAAUUUUACUUAAAACUUUAGUUUGACACCCAUGUUUUACUAGCAUUGAUCAGCCACCCCAAGGUUCAUUUUUAAUCACAAAGAAAGAAUACGGAGCCUUGAGAGCGUGAAGGAUCACGCCUGUAGUCCCAGCGACUCUAGAGGCUGAGGCUGGAGGAUCACUUGAACCCCAGAGUUCACGGUUACUGUGAGCUGUGAUUGCACGACUGCACUCCAGCCUGGGCAUCCUAGAGACACCUGUCUCUAUAAAAACAACAAGAAAGAAAGAAUGUGGGGAAAAAGAGGAUGGGUAUCUUGGGUCAGUUUCCUGGAAUUCAGACUCUGAGAUAGUGUAGUUGACUGGGGAGCCGCUCUGAAUCAACCCCUGUGGAGUAACAGAAGCAGAACUGGAGAAGAGGAGAUGCAGGUACCGCAAAUGACUUGGCUGAUGGCAGGGCAGCCCUGAAGCAGGCACAGUCCUUCAGUUGUCUAUCUCCUCAUUGAUCAGUGAGUGGAUAGGGGCCACUUCAGGAAAGGUGUGACUUGGAGCAUGCAACUCCCCCGCUGAGAGCAAAUCCCACGGACGAUGUCUCCUGAGUACCACGGUCGCUGAUACGGUUUGGCUGUGUCUCCACCCAAAUCUCACCUUGAAUUUUAGUUUCUGUAAUUCUCAUGUGUGGUUGGGGGGACCUGGUGGGAGAUAAUGGAAUCAUGGGGGCAGUUUCCUCCCUACUGUUCUCGUGGUAAUGAAUAACUCUCACGAGAUCCUAUGGUUUUAUAAGGGGAAACCCCUUUCGCUUGGCUCUCUGAUUCUACCCUGUCUGCUGCCAUGUAAGAUGUGCCUUUUACCUUCUGCCAUGAUCGUGAGGCUUCCCCAGCCACGUGGAACUGCGAGUCCAUUAAGCCUCUUUUUCUUUAUAAAUUACCCACUCUUGGGUAUGUCUUUAUCAGCAGCAUGAAAAUGGACUAAUACAGCCACUAACACCACAGCCAUUGGUGGAAUUGGUUUCGGUCCUGAAAUCGCAGUAUCCACUCUAGCGCCAUAUUUUUUUUCUCUCAGGUAACUGGGCAAGGAUGGGAGAAAAGAGGAAAAACUGUGUUUAUGGAGGUGUGUAAAGAUAGGGGGAAAAAAGACAAGCUGUGGAGGAAUUAACCAAAUUGAGCUUUGGAAGACAGAGGGCAGCAGGGAGCAGCUCUUGCAACACCUUUCUGAGGGGAAGAGGAGGUGAGAGGGAAGGCCCGGCUCAGGCUACAGGCUGCUCUUGCCAGAACAGUUGAGCUGCUGGUGAGGAUAUGCUGCCCUAGGGGAAGGAGGGACAGUAGACUGACCUGAUAUUCAAGGCAGGGAACAGUUGAUGACAUUUUAUAUUCUACCUUAGGGGGUCCUGCACAGAGAAGCAGGUGAGGGCUGCUAUGGUAAUUCCCAACGUGUUUUAUUUAUUUUAUUUUAUUUUUAAUAUGGCAAUACAGAUCAGUUUUGUUUUGUUUUGUUUUGUUUUUUUAACAUUUUGCAUCUUUCUACAAAGUGUUAUACGGGCA